AGAGUUUGAUCAUGGCUCAGGAUGAACGCUGGCGGCGUGCCUAACACAUGCAAGUCGAACGUGAACCCGUUUUCGGAUGGGUGAAAGUGGCGAACGGGUGAGUAACACGUUGGUGACCUGCCCCGAAGAGGGGGAUAACUCUGGGAAACCAGGGCUAAAACCCCAGAUGUUUAAGAGUUUAGACGCCUUAAACUAAAACCUUGGUGCUUCGGGAGGGGCCUGCGGGCUAUCAGCUAGUUGGUGGGGUAAAGGCCUACCAAGGCGAAGACGGCUAGGGGGCGUGAGAGCGUGACCCCCCACAAUGGAACUGAGAAACGGUCCAUACUCCUACGGGAGGCAGCAGUGAGGAAUAUUGCACAAUGGGCGCAAGCCUGAUGCAGCAACGCCGCGUGGAUGAUGAAGGCCUUCGGGUUGUAAAAUCCUUUUCUGGGGAAAGAUAAUGACGUACCCCAGAGUA
rnacentral:rRNA from 1 species